rnacentral:tmRNA from 1 species
GGGGGUGAACGGUCUCGACUACGGAUGUUGAGGCAGGGGAAGCGGGCCGAGGAAGCCGGGAUGAUCUCGUAAACCAAUAACCCGUGCAAAAAAAUAAGUGCCAAUAAAACGGCCACUGAUUUCGCCCUCGCUGCAUAAGCGAGCCUUCGAAAUCCGUUAGCCCAGGGUCGCUCUCGACCUGGAAUCUAGCGUCGCUAGAGAGCUCUACCUGCCAGGGGUGCAUCGAACUCUGUUGGGGAAAUCUUUUCGAUGAUGAGUCCGGCGAUCACUUGUGCGCGUGUGGAUCGGGACUGAGAAACCGCUUAGCGUAAUACGCCCGUAGAAGACCUGGUUUAAUGCCGAAGGACGCGGGUUCGAUUCCCGCCACCUCCACUG